GACAGAGGGUGCAAACGUUGUUCGGAAUUACUGGGCGUAAAGCGCGCGUAGGCAGCAGCGUGUGUCGGGCGUGAAAUCCCACGGCUCAACCGUGGAAGUGCACUCGAAACUGCGCAGCUAGAGUCUCGGAGAGGAAGGCGGAAUGCUUGGUGUAGAGGUGAAAUUCGUAGAUAUCUGGAGGAACACCGGUGGCGAAGGCGGCAUCCUGGACCGGCAUUGACGCUGAGGCGCGAAAGCUAGGGGAGCAAACGGG
rnacentral:rRNA from 1 species